rnacentral:rRNA from 1 species
AGUGAACGCUGGCGGUAGGCCUAACACAUGCAAGUCGAACGGCAGCACAGUAAGAGCUUGCUCUUACGGGUGGCGAGUGGCGGACGGGCGAGGAAUACAUCGGAAUCUACUUUUUCGUGGGGGAUAACGUAGGGAAACUUACGCUAAUACCGCAUACGACCUACGGGUGAAAGCAGGGGAUCUUCGGACCUUGCGCGAUUGAAUGAGCCGAUGUCGGAUUAGCUAGUUGGCGGGGUAAAGGCCCACCAAGGCGACGAUCCGUAGCUGGUCUGAGAGGAUGAUCAGCCACACUGGAACUGAGACACGGUCCAGACUCCUACGGGAGGCAGCAGUGGGGAAUAUUGGACAAUGGGCGCAAGCCUGAUCCAGCCAUACCGCGUGGGUGAAGAAGGCCUUCGGGUUGUAAAGCCCUUUUGUUGGGAAAGAAAAGCAGCAGGUUAAUACCCCGCUGUUCUGACGGUACCCAAAGAAUAAACACCGGCUAACUUCGU